rnacentral:misc_RNA from 1 species
UCCGGUUUGUCACCGGCAGUCUCCUUAGAGUGUCCUUGCGUAGCAACUAAGGACAAGGGUUGCGCUCGUUGCGGGACUUAACCCAACAUCUCACGACACGAGCUGACGACGGCCAUGCAGCACCUGUGUUCGCGUUCCCGAAGGCACUCCCGCAUCUCUGCAGGAUUCGCGACAUGUCAAGGCCAGGUAAGGUUCUUCGCGUUGCAUCGAAUUAAACCACAUACUCCACCGCUUGUGCGGGUCCCCGUCAAUUCCUUUGAGUUUUAAUCUUGCGACCGUACUCCCCAGGCGGUCAACUUCACGCGUUAGCUGCGUUACCAAGCCCGUUAAGACCCGACAACUAGUUGACAUCGUUUAGGGCGUGGACUAC